GGGGUGGACGGCCUCUGCAAAGUGGCCUGAUCAGAUUCCUGAGCAUCUAGGUCAUUGGGCAGGAUGGCGCCUGGCUGGAGCCACCGUUGCUCUCUUCUGACCUUGAAAGGUGUGACAAGUGGAUCUGCAUUCAUUGCUCUGUGAGCCUCUAUUGAGUAUCUAUGAUGUGCUGGGCAUUGACCUGAUCUUUAUGAGAAUUUGGUUAUUUGGAUGAAAUGCUUAUUUCUUUUUUAACAUAAGCAUUGACUGGAAAUAUUGGUUAUUCUGUCUGAUAUUACAUGAAGGUCAGAUGCCCUCCAUGCAACCAUGAGGUCGGAUGGCAGUUUGAUGCUGAACCAGCAAACAAGGCCGUCAGGGGACCCCACUCCUUUCUCCCUGCAGGCUUCCUCUGCCACUUGCUACUCCUUUGUACUCGUUCCACCUGGCAGUCUGAGGAACACAAACUAAAAUGCAGAACUGCCUCGAUGCGUUUGAGAACAUUCUGUCCUUAUUGUGAAUGCUGACUUGCUCCAAUCAACACAUUUCUUUAACUCCUUUAAAACCAGCUUGUUAGAGCUGUCUACAAUGCCGUGAGGUUCCAACUUCCUCUGAUUAAUUAGGAGGCUCAGAAAUGUCAUAUACUUGUUAUGUACCUCCUACAUGCCUGGUCCUCUGCUAGGAGUUGAGGGUAAAGCAGUGAAUUGGACAAAUAAAAUAGAAACCAGUAUCCACAAGGGCACAGUGAUGGCCUACUCAGCAUGAAACUAUGAGUAUAAAAACCUUUAUGAUGACCUACCUCCACUUGGAUCAAUGAAGAGAAGAAGAGUUGUGGACAUAGACACAUACAGAGAGAAGACCAUGUGAAGUCACAGGGAGAAGACAGCCACCUACAUACCAAGGAGAGAGGCUGUACAAGAAACCAACCCUGAUGACACCUUGAUCUUGGACUUCCAGCUUCCAGAUUUACAGGAAAAUAAAUUUCCGUUGUUUAAGCCACACAGUCUAUGGCAUUUUGUUAUGGCAGUUCUAGCAAACUAAUAUACAGCCUAUAUCAUAUACUACUCAGUUUGACUACUUUUAUUUUGGAACAUAUUAUACUUUUGCUACUUUUGCUUAUGCAGUUUCUUUUGCUUAGUGUCCCUUGCUAGUAGAUAUUUAUAUUUAAAGAUAUUUUAGGCCUGGCACAGUGGCUCACACCUGUAAUUCCAACACUUUGGCAGGCUGAGGUGAGUAAAUCACUUGAGGCCAGGAGUUUGAGAUCAGCCUGGCUAACAUGGCGAAACCCCUUCUCUACUAAAAAAUACAAAAGUUAGCUGG
rnacentral:lncRNA from 1 species